GCCACCUACAAUAACAAGUCAUAUAAUGUAAUAUUAUAUAAAGAACUGGAGAAGAGGAGCCGUAAUCUCUGUCUAAAAAAUUAAAUUACUCCGUUGCUACCGAAUUAAUAUUGGAAAUAUUGGCAUUACUGAAAUCAAAUGAUUUCACAAAAUGUCUUCUAAUAAAAUGAGUAAAGGAGAGAAACCGAAAGGAAUUGGAGUUUUGCAUGUUGAGAAACAUUUCAAUAACUUUCCAUCCAAAAAAGAAGAUCUUUCCAUUGGUCACUUACUUCAUAUUUACUUCAGUUCUGGAAAUAAAAAGUUAUUUCCCACAAUAAAUAAAUUGAAGGAACUUUGUACAUUACAUUACAUAGACUUCCCUACUGAAUUUAAAUAUCAAUCUAUUGUAAGUAAAAUAGGUCGUAGGUACAGGAAAUCUAAAUGUUUUCCAUUGCAAAACUAUAAGAACUGGUGUCACGAAUCAGUUCUUACAUCAUCAGCGUCUCAAGAUUUAGAUAAUGCAUCUCAAGAAAUUGUGAACAAUUCUCAACUUAAUCUUUCAAAUGUAUCUUACACCUCCAUUGAAACACAAACUGAGGAUCAGGGGGAAGAGUUAAAAAAUAUUAAAAAACAAUUAAAACAAUGUCAAGAUAAACAUCGACAACUAUUGAAGUAUAAUCGUGAUAAGACGCUGUUACAAUCUAUAAACUAUGUAAAAAAAGAAAAGUAUGACGAAGCUGUCCAACUUAUUGUUUCACAAAAAGAGGAUAUUAAAAAAUUAAAUUCUGAAGUCAGAGAAUUAACCUAUCAAUUGAUAAACUGUGAAACUUUCUGUUAAAUUGUUUUGUUGCGUAAAACCAUAUAACUUAUAGACAGGUCAGGGAUUCGUUGAAAUAUUGGUAACACUGUGAAGUCAGGAGAAAAAGCAUCAAGACUUUUAUUUAGGCUAUUACCGCCUAUUUAAAAAAAUUGUUAAACGCAUCUUUAUUAAUUAUAUGUUAUACUUCAUUUCUCUGAAGGAUAAGACAAUUCUGAUAACUAUAUGAAUCCAAUGGCAAUAAUCUCCAUUUCUCUUCUUCAAUUUGGUAUAUUGGAGGAUACAAAUUCCGUUCGUUCUAUUUUGCCUUCGAUUCUUAAUUUCUCAGGAUAUUUUCAUCUUGCAAAUAUUUAUAUACCUCAUUUUAGUCAUGGUUACUUAAUCUUCUGGUUUCUCAUUAUAUUCUUGGCAUUUGAAAGUACUGUUGUCUUUUAUUUAUAUAUAUUUCAAGCCUAUUGUUUAUUCAUAUAUUGAUAUAUUGAGAUUCAAAUGUGUUGAACACCUUUCCCCAUUUCCCCUUUUCAGUCCAAUCUUGCAUCUUUACUGUACCAUUUUUUAAUACAUCUAAAUGUAUCUAUUUUUGUAUAAUUUUUGAUAAUAUAUCUACAUACUUACAAUUU
rnacentral:lncRNA from 1 species